GCAAACUUGGUCAUUUAGAGGAAGUAAAAGUCGUAACAAGGUUUCCGUAGGUGAACCUGCGGAAGGAUCAUUAGAGGCAAUGCCCCUUAUGGGUAGACCUUCAACCCAAUGUGUAUAUUCUUCGUUGCUUUGGCGUGUCGUAAGGCAAAGCCUUCCACUGGCUUUUCGGCUGGUGCGUACCCGUCAGAGGAAACUUUAAAACUCUGAAUACUAGUGUUGUCUGAGUUCUAUUCAAGUAAUUAAAACUUUCAACAACGGAUCUCUUGGUUCUGGCAUCGAUGAAGAACGCAGC
rnacentral:misc_RNA from 1 species